AGCGUUUUUAGCUGUGGUGUCUUU
rnacentral:siRNA from 1 species